GUGGGGAAUCUUAGACAAUGGGCGCAAGCCUGAUCUAGCCAUGCCGCGUGAGCGAUGAAGGCCUUAGGGUUGUAAAGCUCUUUCGUGGGGGAAGAUAAUGACUGUACCCCAAGAAGAAGCCCCGGCUAACUCCGUGCCAGCAGCCGCGGUAAUACGGAGGGGGCUAGCGUUGUUCGGAAUUACUGGGCGUAAAGCGCACGUAGGCGGACUGGAAAGUCAGGGGUGAAAUCCCGGGGCUCAACCCCGGAACUGCCUUUGAAACUCCCAGUCUUGAGUUGGAGAGAGGUGAGUGGAAUUCCGAGUGUAGAGGUGAAAUUCGUAGAUAUUCGGAGGAACACCAGUGGCGAAGGCGGCUCACUGGCUCGAUACUGACGCUGAGGUGCGAAAGCGUGGGGAGCAAACAGGAUUAGAAACCCCGGUAGUCC
rnacentral:rRNA from 1 species